GAUAUUCAUCUGUUGAAAAGUGGCUUUAUUUCAAAACUAAGGUGCAAGCCAUAAGUCAACCGGAACUUAAUAUUUUCAAUUCAUCUGAACUCCUUCAGCACACAGAACAUUCCAAAAAAACAAAGUUAUUUCGCACACUUGCAAAACAAUACCUCUAGUGUCGAACACCUUUCUAAAGAAUUGUAACAACAGUUCAGAAAUAAAAGCAAAAUCAUAUUUUUCUUCCAAAUAAAGAUUUGCCAAACUGGAGUUGAAAAUGUACCUGUUAAUUAUUAAAGAAGGGAAGUUUUACAUGUGAA